rnacentral:snRNA from 1 species
AGAAGUACCUUGCAAGGGAAAUGGUAUUUCCGUGUCAUAAAAGUGGUUUUCCCAGGGGGAGGCUCAUCCAUUGCACUUCGGGUGUGCUGCUGAUCCCUAUGAUUUCCCCAAAUGUGGGGAACUCAACUGCAUAAUUUGUGAAAUGGGGGAUUGCCCUUGUGAUUUCCCUG